rnacentral:misc_RNA from 1 species
UAAUUAAUUGUAUCAUAGAGUCUUGCAUGGAAAAAUAGAAAAUGAGAUUGAGCCAAGGAUGACUUGCCGAUUUUCUCAACGAAUCUUACUGAUUAUGGUAUCCGGCAAGUUGACUUUGGCUCUGUUUCCUUCCCUUCUUUUCGAUGUCAAACUCUAGAUACCUAACCACA